rnacentral:rRNA from 1 species
GAUGAACGCUAGCUACAGGCCUAACACAUGCAAGUCGAGGGGCAUCGGGAGGGAAGCUUGCUUCCCUUGCCGGCGACCGGCGCACGGGUGAGUAACGCGUAUCGAACCUGCCCCAUACCCGGGGAUAGCCUUGCGAAAGUAAGAUUAAUACCCGAUGGUUUCCUUUUAUCUCCUGAUAGAGGGAAUAAAGAAUUUCGGUAUGGGAUGGCGAUGCGUCCGAUUAGCUAGUUGGCGGGUAACGGCCCACCAAGGCGACGAUCGGUAGGGGUUCUGAGAGGAAGGUCCCCCACAUUGGAACUGAGACACGGUCCAA